rnacentral:snRNA from 1 species
CGGGCGAGAGACCGAUAGCGAA